GGGGAAUUUNCCGCAAUGGGCGAAAGCCUGACGGAGCAACGCCGCGUGAGGGACGAAGGCCUCUGGGCUGUAAACCUCUNUUUCUCAAGGAAGANAGAUAUGACGGUACUUGAGGAAUAAGCCACGGCUAAUUCCGUGCCAGCAGCCGCGGUAAUACGGGAGUGGCAAGCGUUAUCCGGAAUUAUUGGGCGUAAAGCGUCCGCAGGCGGCUUUUCAAGUCUGCUGUUAAAGCGUGGAGCUUAACUCCAUCAUGGCAGUGGAAACUGAAAGGCUUGAGUAUGGUAGGGGCAGAGNGGAAUUCCCGGUGUAGCGGUGAAAUGCGUAGAUAUCGGGAAGAACACCAGUGGCGAAGGCGNCUCUGCCC
rnacentral:rRNA from 1 species